CUUAGGCCAGAAGAGGGGGCUUUGGGAGGUUUUUACCUGCCUGUCCUCAGGCGGAGGACAUUGGCUAGACAGGCUGCGUUACAGACCUGAAGUCUCAUCCAUGCAACGUGCUUUCAGAAGUGGCUCCCUUCGCCGCAACUCCAAACCUCAGGGUAACCGUAGAGAUUGGCAGCAAUGCCCCAGCCCCUCACCAGCACUACGCAAAGUGACUUUGACAGGCAGAGGAAAGCCAACCCAGUCGAAUUCGUCUGGAAAGCAUUCCAGCAACCCAGAGAGGAGCCUCUGUUUCUCUCUCUGGGAAAAAGCCCCAAGGGUUUUGCUGAACCCAGGUCUUCCUGCUCAUCUCUCAGCAGUUCAGAGCUACAUAAACAACUUCUGACUAUUUACACAAUCAUGUAAACCUACCCUGACAUCUCCAUUAUGUGGAAAAGAUGUUAACUGGAAAACUAUUUUUAAAGUACUGCAGUAAGAAAAUAAACAUCCAACUCCAACAUAUAUGCAGCAGCUUUAUUAGUUCAUUCAAUGGAAGAAGCGAUGCUUAGCUGCCACCUCUGCCAAGAUAGAAAGCCUCUCAGGGAAGCUCCCAGGAUUGGGGAGUGUUCCUGAUAGACUCAGCCCCUGUCAGGAGACAGAAGUGGUUUAUUUUGAUGACAACAGCCUCACACGUGUGUCUCUACAUAUCCAGGACCCCGACUGCAUGUCCAUUUCUUGAUCAGGGGACCUGUGAUUGGGAUUCUCUGGAGGGGAAUGUUCCAAACGAAUCAAUUAACGCUGCCAGCAGCAAGUUCAAUACCACUACACUGAGAACCAGCUCUGUAUCAUUGCAUGAAUGAAUUAAUGGUGCUUAUGUAAUUUGCAAAUAAUCAUCAUUAUAACACAGUGGAAAAUUUCUCCCGCCCAUUUAGCCUGAGUAGCACCUGAGCAGAGAGCUGCAAUAACCCUCACAACACCCUCCAAAAUAACUAUUUACACAUAUGUGAAGUUUUACAUCCAGGUCUUUUAAUAUGGGGAGUAUCUACAUGGACACAAGGUCACCUCUUACACUCACUAAACCAAUUGAAUGAGGUCUGAUAACUCUUAAGGGAAAUCAACGCUGAAACUGCUUUUGACUUUUUGGAGACAUGAAUGGAAUAUAUCAUCAGGUUUUACUCAGCAUGCAACAGUUCUGCAAACUCCAGAAAGGGCAUCUCUCUGUCCCACUGCCCCAUUACCCCUGCCUUAUUCCUUCUCUACACAUCUGAGGAUUUGAUAAGUGGGGAUUUACUGUAAGAGGAGGAAAGAGGAAAAGCAUCACAGGAAAAGAAAUACCUCUUUUCUGACCACAUCUGAUUUGAUGCAAUCUUCUCCUUACUCCUGGCAUCCAGUGGGAUUUUAAAAAACUCAUAUAUACCACCUUUCUUUGUUCUAAAUGACUUGAAUAAGGUCGUUCAAUGGCAGGAGAGACUCAAUCAGAUAAAAAUGUGUAGUUUUUAUAAUUACGGUUUUACUUGUUUAAUGUAUAGGUACCUGAAUAGAUCUUCAAGCAUAAAGUAGCAAUUAUCCCAUCCCUGAUUUUAAAAUAU